CGCCCGCAGACGCUGAAGGUCUUCGUUCCACUUCUGCUUUGUGGUCUGGGCUGAAUGUGCGAGCGAGAAAGUCUGCGUCGCUGAGAGGGUGGCGAGAAGAGCCAACCACCUACAGGACUCACUGUUUGCCUAAUUAGCUGCGUCUGAUGUGGCUUCUGAGGCCGAGCAUCCCGGCCCUCCCCAUGGAUGACUGGGCCGUGAAUAUCGACACGCUUCGUGGGGGUUCCAGCAGCUGCCAGGGCUCGGCGGUGCGAGGGGCUCCCCGAAAGCCCCCCCCCCCAGAACUCCCUCACGGCCGCUGAGCAUUAAAAACCAGAGAGAGGAGAAAUGUGGGAAGAAAAUGUUGGGGGGGGGUUCUGAGAAAAAGGCGCCAAAGCGUCCACGUGUGACCAAAGCUGAAAGUCCGUCUCUUCAUCAGCACAGAGCAUUCGUGAUGCAAAAAGAAAUAAAUAAAUUCAGGACUAAAGCAGCUUUGCUUGGCAGAACAGUCCUCCCACACAAAAACAUGUUUCACCAUCGCACGGAUUCUGCAGCAGCGAGGGCAGACUUUUCCAAGACUUGGCAUUUAAAGCCGUCCAACAGAGAGAGUCCAGGCCGAGCUGGACUCAUCCGCUCUGCUGAGGGCAGGAUGGAGGCUGCAAAACGCCCCGAAUCCCACAUGUUCACAGUCAGGUUUUCAAUAAGCUGGACCCAAAUGCAGACGGGGAGUAGGGCAGGACAGGGGGGUCAAACAGGACAGCGGGGUCAAACUCAAAUUCACAGGGGGCCAAAGUGAAGCAGUGAAGUACAGUCAGCAUUCACUGAAAAAUGAACUGCAACUGAUUUGUAAUGUUGAACCUUUUCACAUGGAAACAAACUUUAGUUUAGCUUAAACACAGAAUCUGGAAGAACCAAAGCUUGAUCUUACAAACACAUAAGAAAUGAAUUAUUUUCUUAUUUAAAUAAAUAAAUAAAGUAUGCCCCCC